rnacentral:tRNA from 2 species
CGCAAGGUAGAGCAGUUGGCAGCUCGUCGGGCUCAUAACCCGGAGGUCGUAGGUUCGAGUCCUACCCUUGCUA